rnacentral:rRNA from 1 species
GUACACAAAAAUGCACAUACUGUGAGCUCGAUGAGUAGGGCGGGACACGUGGUAUCCUGUCUGAAUAUGGGGGGACCAUCCUCCAAGGCUAAAUACUCCUGACUGACCGAUAGUGAACCAGUACCGUGAGGGAAAGGCGAAAAGAACCCCGGCGAGGGGAGUGAAAAAGAACCUGAAACCGUGUACGUACAAGCAGUGGGAGCCUCUUAAUGGGGUGACUGCGUACCUUUUGUAUAAUGGGUCAGCGACUUAUAUUCUGUAGCAAGGUUAACCGAAUAGGGGAGCCGAAGGGAAACCGAGUCUUAACUGGGCGUUAAGUUGCAGGGUAUAGACCCGAAACCCGGUGAUCUAGCCAUGGGCAGGUUGAAGGUUGGGUAACACUAACUGGAGGACCGAACCGACUAAUGUUGAAAAAUUAGCGGAUGACUUGUGGCUGGGGGUGAAAGGCCAAUCAAACCGGGAGAUAGCUGGUUCUCCCCGAAAGCUAUUUAGGUAGCGCCUCGUGAAUUCAUCUCCGGGGGUAGAGCACUGUUUCGGCAAGGGGGUCAUCCCGACUUACCAACCCGAUGCAAACUGCGAAUACCGGAGAAUGUUAUCACGGGAGACACACGGCGGGUGCUAACGUCCGUCGUGAAGAGGGAAACAACCCAGACCGCCAGCUAAGGUCCCAAAGUCAUGGUUAAGUGGGAAACGAUGUGGGAAGGCCCAGACAGCCAGGAUGUUGGCUUAGAAGCAGCCAUCAUUUAAAGAAAGCGUAAUAGCUCACUGGUCGAGUCGGCCUGCGCGGAAGAUGUAACGGGGCUAAACCAUGCACCGAAGCUGCGGCAGCGACACUAUGUGUUGUUGGGUAGGGGAGCGUUCUGUAAGCCUGUGAAGGUGUACUGUGAGGUAUGCUGGAGGUAUCAGAAGUGCGAAUGCUGACAUAAGUAACGAUAAAGCGGGUGAAAAGCCCGCUCGCCGGAAGA